rnacentral:lncRNA from 1 species
AGAGGAUUGCUACCUGGUGAGAGUGGACACACAAGAGAGCCUGAGAGCUUUAACUGAGAGUUGAAGUUAUUCUGGAGGAGGAAGAAGGUGGUGUGACCAACCCAUGAGGGUUUGCAUCGGGGGACAAAUGUUGAGUGCAGCAUUUGAAUGGCACGCCGUCUUCUCCAGACAGUGGUCAUGAAUUAAAAUGGAUAUCCAACUGUUCCAUGAGGCAACGAAUGGGGAUUUUACAUAUUAAAUCAGCAUUGUCUGCUGGAGCUCUCUGCUACCUGGGAAGGCUCUGCAUUUGGGCUGUCAAAGCCACAAGCUCAGACAAUGAAGAUGGCAAACUGAAGGCACAACUUUGCAUCAGACAUUUGAUGGGAGAGGUCCAUCUUUGAAGGGAAGUUUUAUUUAAGUCUGUCCCUGGAUCCACAUCAUCCGUACGUCUGUCUACAGGGCAAAAAACUUCAUCUUUCAUGAGUGCAAUUUCAAACUUGGUGCCAACGAGAGACAUCUUCCCUGGACUCAAAUGCGCGAAGCCUGAACAGGACAUCUUGAGUGUUAGCUUCUCUGGGAUGGCUGCGGUGUGCAGCACAUUUUUGUUAAGGUGUUAUUCAAAGUUUCUGAUUAACAUAAGUUUUUCUUAAAAUUAUACAAAAACAUAAUACCAUGAUUAUGGAAAUAAAAAGCCACCCACAAGCUUA